rnacentral:rRNA from 1 species
ACAGCUACAUCACCCUGAACGUGCCAGAUCUCGUCUGAUCUUGGAAGCUAAGCAGGGUCAGGCUUGGUUAGUACUUGGAUGGGAGACCAUUCAGAUAUUUUCAAAAGUAAAAUAUG